GAGAGAGGGGAGACCGCGGAGGCUGGGAUGACGUUGGGGAAAGCUCGGAUGCGGAGUUAAAAGCCAUCCAAAUAACAGCUCGGGGCCGGGAAGCCGGUGGCUGGAAAGAAGUCUGGGACUCCCGGGGCUGGAAAAGCGUAAAAUCUCGCGGAACUGGCACAGGUCCAUCAGGCUCCACUCCUCCAUCAGCCUUCCACUCGUGGAAGCCUGGAGCAGCAAGGAGGUGGGAAACUGGCAAAAGGGAAACCUUAGGAACCAGUAUAAAGUUGGGGUCCCAGAGCUGAUAGCAUAGGAAGCUAACCCAGGUCAUCAGGGUCCCGUGGGCUGGGUCUCGGGGCGCCUUCCGAGCUCUAAACCGGCGGGCGACGGAGAUGGCCUUGGGACCCACUCAGGGCCCGCCGGCGCAGUCGAGGACCUGAGCGCCAAGUCGAAGUCGUCCCAGCCGGAGGACUGGCGCCGCGCGCCGCGCUUCCUGACACUCCCCUGCUCCCCGGCCCAAGCCGCCCACGGUGCUGCGCGGCCAGGACUGCACCAUGACCUGCGCCUUCCUUGGGAACUCGCGGCCCACGGUGACCCUCUACAAGGGCGACGUCAACAUCAGGUUCUGAUAAAACUCCACCAGCGGCGUGUGCACAAUCGUCUUCCCCACCUGCACGCUCAAGGACAGCAGCGAGCACAGCGUGCCGGUGAAGGAGCUGGGCAAGGACCGUAGCAGCUGUGCGCUCACCAUCUACGUGAGGGCCCCGCGGAGCCGGACCUGAGGGGUGUGGGGGGUGCCCCGGGAGCAGCUGUGUCCCGUCUGGGGCAGAUGCGCAAAAUCACGGUCUCUGGGCUGUUGACAGACUCUUCUGGCAGGGCUGGCGCCGUUUUUUAUUUACUCUGCCAUCAGACCAAGAUGAUAAGUCAGUUCUAGCAUCAGUCACCGAGAGUCUGCAGAAGAAAUCCAAGCGUCUUAUGUGAGCUCCAGCCCAGCCCAGGCAUCAGGAGAAUGUUGUGCUGUGGGGCUUCUUGGCCUGUCCUCUGUGUGGCCUCAGUGAGGGAAGCCCAGUUUGCUCUCUGGUGCUUGUCACUGCAAACAUUCAGUGAAAGGAUGGGACAAUAAAUGGAGUGAGCUCACCCUUGCCUGUUCCUGAGUGUGGUGUGCAGCAGGAGUGGGAUGCGGAUACACAGAACCUGGACCCCUGAG
rnacentral:lncRNA from 1 species